GACGAACGCUGGCGGCGUGACUAAUACAUGCAAGUAGACAUGAGUUGCGAAAGGGUGAGUAACGCGUAGGUAACCUGCCUCAUAGCGGGGGAUAACUAUUGGAAACGAUAGCUAAUACCGAAUCAUGAGAUGGAACUGCUUUGUAUUAGCUAGUUGGUGAGGUACAGGCUCAACAAGGCGACGAUACAGAGCCGACCUGCGAGGGUUAUCUGCCACAUGGGGAGUGAGACACGGCCCAGACUCCUACGGGAGGCAGCAGUAGGGAAUCUUCGGCAAUGGACGAAAGUCUGACCGAGCAACGCCGCGUGAGUGAAGAAGGUUUUCGGAUUGUAAAACUCUGUUGUUAGAGAAGCGGUAUCUAACCAGAAAGCCACGGCUAACUACGUGCCAGCAGCCGCGGUAAGUC
rnacentral:rRNA from 1 species